GAUGAACGCUGGCUACAGGCUUAACACAUGCAAGUCGAGGGGAAACGACGGGGAAGCUUGCUUCCCCGGGCGUCGACCGGCGCACGGGUGAGUAACGCGUAUCCAACCUGCCUCUGACUGAGGGAUAACCCGUCGAAAGUCGGCCUAAUACCUCAUGGCAUCGUCUGCGGGCAUCCAACGACGAUUAAAGAUUUCAUCGGUCAGAGAUGGGGAUGCGUCUGAUUAGCUUGUUGGCGGGGUAACGGCCCACCAAGGCGACGAUCAGUAGGGGUUCUGAGAGGAAGGUCCCCAACAUUGGAACUGAGACACGGUCCAAACUCCUACGGGAGGCAGCAGUGAGGAAUAUUGGUCAAUGGGCGAGAGCCUGAACCAGCCAAGUAGCGUGCAGGAUGACGGCCCUAUGGGUUGUAAACUGCUUUUAUGCGGGGAUAAAGUGAGGGACGUGUCCUUCAUUGCAGGUACCGCAUGAAUAAGGACCGGCUAAUUCCGUG
rnacentral:rRNA from 1 species